GACGAACGCUGGCGGCGUGCUUAACACAUGCAAGUCGAACGGAAAGGCCCUGCUUUUGUGGGGUGCUCGAGUGGCGAACGGGUGAGUAACACGUGAGUAACCUGCCCUUGACUUUGGGAUAACUUCAGGAAACUGGGGCUAAUACCGGAUAGGAGCUCCCGCUGCAUGGCGGGGGUUGGAAAGUUUCGGCGGUUGGGGAUGGACUCGCGGCUUAUCAGCUUGUUGGUGGGGUAGUGGCUUACCAAGGCUUUGACGGGUAGCCGGCCUGAGGGGGUGACCGGCCACAUUGGGACUGAGAUACGGCCCAGACUCCUACGGGAGGCAGCAGUGGGGAAUAUUGCACAAUGGGCGGAAGCCUGAUGCAGCACCGCCGCGUGCGGGAUGACGGCCUUCGGGUUGUAAACCGCUUUCGCCUGUGACGAAGCGUGAGUGACGGUAAUGGGUAAAGAAGCACCGGCUAACUACGUG
rnacentral:rRNA from 1 species